UACGGAGGAUGCGAGCGUUAUCCGGAUUUAUUGGGUUUAAAGGGUGCGUAGGCGGGAUGAUAAGUUAGAGGUGAAAUGUCGGGGCUCAACCCCGAAACUGCCUCUAAUACUGUUGGACUAGAGAAUAGUUGCGGUAGGCGGAAUGUAUGGUGUAGCGGUGAAAUGCUUAGAGAUCAUACAGAACACCGAUUGCGAAGGCAGCUUACCAAACUAUAUCUGACGUUGAGGCACGAAAGCGUGGGUAGCAAACAGG
rnacentral:rRNA from 1 species